rnacentral:rRNA from 1 species
UACGUAGGUGGCGAGCGUUGUCCGGAUUUACUGGGCGUAAAGGGAGCGUAGGCGGACUUUUAAGUGAGAUGUGAAAUACUCGGGCUCAACUUGAGUGCUGCAUUUCAAACUGGAAGUCUCGAGUGCAGGAGAGGAGAAUGGAAUUCCUAGUGUAGCGGUGAAAUGCGUAGAGAUUAGGAAGAACACCAGUGGCGAAGGCGAUUCUCUGGACUGUAACUGACGCUGAGGCUCGAAAGCGUGGGGAGCAAACAGG